rnacentral:rRNA from 1 species
AACGAACGCUAGCGGCGUGCUUAACACAUGCAAGUCGCACGAGAAAUCCCGGGCAACUGGGAGAGUACAGUGCCGCACGGGUGAGUAGCGCGUGGGUAAUCUACCCCUAACUUGGGAAUAACACCCCGAAAGGGGUGCUAAUUCCGAAUAACAUCCCUGGAACUCCGGUUCCGGGGAUCAAAGCUGGCUGAGGCUUGCAAGCUCUCGCUUAAGGACGAGCCCGCGUACCAUUAGCGAGUUGGUGGGUUAACGGCCCACCAAGGCCAUGAUGGUUAGCUGGUCUGAGAGGAUGGCCAGCCACACUGGAACUGAGACACGGUCCAGACUCCUACGGGAGGCAGCAGUGAGGAAUCUUGCGCAAUGGGGGCAACCCUGACGCAGCAACGCCGCGUGAGUGAUGAAGGCCUUCGGGUCGUAAAGCUCUGUCAGAUGGGAAGAAAGUUUUGGGUGUGAAUAAUGCCCGAGAUCGACGGUACCGUCAAAGGAAGCACCGGCUAACUCCGUGCCAGCCGCCGCGGUAAUAC